rnacentral:rRNA from 1 species
GAUGAACGCUGGCGGCGUGCUUAACACAUGCAAGUCGAACGGAAAGGCUCCUGCUUGCAGGGGUACUCGAGUGGCGAACGGGUGAGUAACACGUGGGUGAUCUGCCCUGCACUUCGGGAUAAGCCUGGGAAACUGGGUCUAAUACCGGAUAGGACGAUGGUUUGGAUGCCAUUGUGGAAAGUUUUUCGGUGUGGGAUGAGCUCGCGGCCUAUCAGCUUGUUGGUGGGGUAAUGGCCUACCAAGGCGUCGACGGGUAGCCGGCCUGAGAGGGUGUACGGCCACAUUGGGACUGAGAUACGGCCCAGACUCCUACGGGAGGCAGCAGUGGGGAAUAUUGCACAAUGGGCGCAAGCCUGAUGCAGCGACGCCGCGUGGGGGAUGACGGCCUUCGGGUUGUAAACUCCUUUCGCUAGGGACGAAGCGCAAGUGACGGUACCUGGAGAAGAAGCACCGGCUAACUACGUGC